rnacentral:rRNA from 1 species
CCUACGGGUGGCAGCAGUGGGGGAUAUUGCACAAUGGGGGAAACCCUGAUCCAGCGAUGCCGCGUGAAUGAAGACGGCCCUCGGGUUGUAAAGCUCUUUUGCAGGGGACGAAAAUGACGGUACCCUGCAAGAAAGCUCAGGCUAACUCCGUGCCAGCAGCCGCGGAAAUAGGUAGGGAGCAACGGUAGUCCGGAAUUAUGGGGGGUAAAGGGGGCGUAGGGGGGAGGAUAGGUUGAAUGUGAAAUCUAUGGGCUCAACCCAGAGCUGCGUCUAAAACUGUUCUUCUUGAGUGAAGUAGAGGCAGGCGGAAUUCGUAGUGUAGCGGUGAAAUGCGUAGAUAUUAGGCGGAACACCAGUGGCGAAGGCGGCCUGCUGGGCUAUUACUGACGCUGAGGCUCGAAAGCGUGGGUAGCAAACAGGAUUAGAUACCCUUGUAGUC